rnacentral:rRNA from 1 species
GAUGAACGCUGGCGGCGUGCCUAAUACAUGCAAGUCGAGCGAAUGGAUUAAGAGCUUGCUCUUAUGAAGUUAGCGGCGGACGGGUGAGUAACACGUGGGUAACCUGCCCAUAAGACUGGGAUAACUCCGGGAAACCGGGGCUAAUACCGGAUAACAUUUUGAACCGCAUGGUUCGAAAUUGAAAGGCGGCUUCGGCUGUCACUUAUGGAUGGACCCGCGUCGCAUUAGCUAGUUGGUGAGGUAACGGCUCACCAAGGCAACGAUGCGUAGCCGACCUGAGAGGGUGAUCGGCCACACUGGGACUGAGACACGGCCCAGACUCCUACGGGAGGCAGCAGUAGGGAAUCUUCCGCAAUGGACGAAAGUCUGACGGAGCAACGCCGCGUGAGUGAUGAAGGCUUUCGGGUCGUAAAACUCUGUUGUUAGGGAAGAACAAGUGCUAGUUGAAUAAGCUGGCACCUUGACGGUACCUAACCAGAAAGCCACGGCUAACUACGUGCCAGCAGCCGCGGUAAUACGUAGGUGGCAAGCGUUAUCCGGAAUUAUUGGGCGUAAAGCGCGCGCAGGUGGUUUCUUAAGUCUGAUGUGAAAGCCCACGGCUCAACCGUGGAGGGUCAUUGGAAACUGGGAGACUUGAGUGCAGAAGAGG